rnacentral:rRNA from 1 species
CGAGUUAUCUGAACCUUCGGGGAACGAUAACGGCGUCGAGCGGCGGACGGGUGAGUAAUGCCUAGGAAAUUGCCCUGAUGUGGGGGAUAACCAUUGGAAACGAUGGCUAAUACCGCAUGAUGCCUACGGGCCAAAGAGGGGGACCUUCGGGCCUCUCGCGUCAGGAUAUGCCUAGGUGGGAUUAGCUAGUUGGUGAGGUAAGGGCUCACCAAGGCGACGAUCCCUAGCUGGUCUGAGAGGAUGAUCAGCCACACUGGAACUGAGACACGGUCCAGACUCCUACGGGAGGCAGCAGUGGGGAAUAUUGCACAAUGGGCGCAAGCCUGAUGCAGCCAUGCCGCGUGUGUGAAGAAGGCCUUCGGGUUGUAAAGCACUUUCAGUCGUGAGGAAGGUGGUGUAGUUAAUAGCUGCAUUAUUUGACGUUAGCGACAGAAGAAGCACCGGCUAACUCCGUGCCAGCAGCCGCGGUAAUACGGAGGGUGCGAGCGUUAAUCGGAAUUACUGGGCGUAAAGCGCAUGCAGGUGGUUUGUUAAGUCAGAUGUGAAAGCCCGGGGCUCAACCUCGGAAU